ACCCUGGGUUUGGGGAUGGAUGGGAGGGAGAAGGCGAGGGAGGCGACGGGGGCGGCGACAAGGGUGAGGAGGAGGGAGCCGGCGAAGAGGCCCGGGAGGGUGGAGAGGCCCAGAGAGAUGGCCCCCUCGUCCCGCAGCGGCAGCACGACGAAAAGAAGCAAGAAGCAAGAGAGAGAGGGAGGCAUACGAUACGUACGAAGAAGAAGGUGGAGGCGGCGCUGAUGAGCGGGGAGAUCUCGUGGGGGAGGACGGCCACCACUGACGCCACCGCCGCAUCCCGGAGCCGAUGACUCCUCGUCGUCGUCGUCGUCAUUCC
rnacentral:sRNA from 1 species